CUGCAGCAGUGGCGGUGUUCAGCUGACCCAUAAAUACAUAUAUAGAUAAUCAUUCUUUGUAAUCAGAGCAUUUAAAUAGCUUUAAAAUGCACCAGCAAAAGGCGCCAUAUGGAAAACUCUGAUUGAAAACAUAUGGGAAGUUGCAUCAGAAAGAGUUGGGUUUGCUUUGUGUGGAUGUUGAUUUGCUCUGCUCACAAUUACUUGGGGAAAUAGCAGAGAAAAUACAUUUCCUUUUUUGCUGAGUGCCAUCUAAGCACCAUGGGUUGAUAACUUCAGUGUUACUGUGAUCUCUACCACUUUCUGCCAGCUGAGAGACUUCUUUAUCUCGAAUCAUGUUUCCUAUUAAUAACUACUAGACAAAAGUUUAGUUAUGCAUUAUUCAUAGCUUUUCUUUUAAGUCAUUGACACCACCUGCACUUAACUCCAAACCCAGUCCUGAAUCAACUUCCACAAAUCCCUGCCAGAUUGAAAAUGUAACUAUUGCAGUAAAACAAUGUUUUACUUCUUUCCUUCCUAGAGCUGUUUUAAUUAUUUAUCACUUUGUUUUGUACUAGUAACAAGCUGCUGCUCCUUGUCCUGCCUAUAAUUGUGUUUAUUUGUUAAUGACAGAGAGAGAAAGAGAAGCGACUGCUGUAAGAGUGGAAACAAUCUUAAAUCAUCUUCAGUCCUGACUUGCAUCUGGCACAGUCCCAUUCAUCUAACAGAGGCUAUACACUGUCACUGAACUGAGGUGAGCAGCAGCACUACCUAGUCAUCGUUACAGUGAUAGUUUGGUACCCUGGUACCUCCUUACCCUGGAAAGACUCACACCAUGAAGACCAUGUGAUCCUCAGUCAGAUUACCCAAGAGAUGUUCCUUCCUGGAAAGGGAAAUAGGAGAGAGAUACAGAGCUGUUUUUCAAUCCCUUCAUUUACAUGGCCUCAUUUCAAGUACGUUUUAUUGUGUGUUCGUGAUUUAAACCUUACCAGCGCCUAUUUUCAGAUGGAAAGAUUUGAAGUGCCAGUUCCAGGUCUGUGUGCAGCACAGCUCCUAUUGCAGCCUCCUUCCUGGGCAGGGGGGCACUUUCCAUCCAGACUCUUGCCUGCUCUGGACACAGGUGGACAGUGUAAAAGUGUAUUUUCAAAGAUCCCUUUGCACCUUGUAGUUAGAACCAGUAUUUAUGGCAAAGUUGCAUUCCAGAACAGAGGAAAAAUCACAAGCUCUGCUGUGUAAUGUCUAAACCAGAGGAGACAGAGCUCCUCGAUCCAGGAGCUCCAGCCAAAUCUCUGUGAAAUCUAACCCACAGACUUUCUGGGUUCAUAUUUUAUCAUCUACAUUCUCACUUGGAUAUCAUUUUGCUUAAAGAGAUGCUUCUAAAC